AGGCACACGCACAACUCAUAACAGUGGAUGUCUUGGCUCCCCAGUCGAUGAAGGACGCGGCAACAUGCGAUAACUCGUAUGCAUUGCAGAAUCAAGCGUAGUACCAAGACUUUGAACGCAUACUGUGUGCUCGCCAGUUCUCUGGCGCUGCACGCCCGCGUUUCAGUGC
rnacentral:rRNA from 1 species